GAUGAAGAACGCAGCGAAAUGCGAUAAGUAAUGUGAAUUGCAGAAUUCAGUGAAUCAUCGAAUCUUUGAACGCACCUUGCGCUCCUUGGUAUUCCGAGGAGCAUGCCUGUUUGAGUGUCAUUAAUAUAUCAACCUUCUCUUUUUUGAGUUGUUUGGAUGUGGGGGUUUGCUGGCCUCUUAAAUGAUUCAGCACCCCUGAAAUGCAUUAGCAGAACAACCUGUUCAUUAGCGUGAUAAUUAUCUAUGCUAUUGAAUGUGAGGGCAGUUCAGCUUUCUAACCGUCCUUGGACAAUUCAUCAUUAAUGUGACCUCAAAUCAGGUAGGACUACCCGCUGAACUUAAGCAUAUCAAUAAGCGGAGGA
rnacentral:misc_RNA from 1 species